CUGCUUUCACCUUACCUGAUCUGCGGUGGCCGCGGCGACUGCUUUCAAGGUAAAGAGGCUUCAAGACACAGAACCUCUGAACACGAUGAACCGUGCAAACAAAAGGUUAGAAUGUCUCAGACUGAAAGGAAGGAUAGAAGAAGAACUGGACGUUUUGGCAUCUCUUUGGUCAAGGGAGAAGGUAAAUCGUGUCUCGUCUCAGAAAAACAGAAAAAGUUGCCAGCUUUUAGAAGGGUCUCUGUUCGAAGUCAUACUGCACAUUUACUGAAGCAUUACAGUAACCAUGGUAACCUGCGACGGUUCAGAACCUCUGCAAGAUCAUUUUCCCCGACAUGGCGACACCUGAGGCUACGACUGUAAUCAACAUUGAAACCAGAGCUAUUUUCAAGGAAAUAUUUUUGAUGAAUUUUCAUCUCAGAGGAAACCAAGAGGAAGAAAGUGAACAUCAAAGAUCUUAUUAUUUCAGGUUGGACGAGUUGUUUUCAUUAUCAACUCCCGACACCAUUCAAACAAGAAGCACCGUCCUGUCUAACAUGUUCGACAUGGUAAAUGAAGGACGACUCACAAGACAGAGAGGAAACACCCAAAACACACAACAGUUCAAGUACAAAGAUUAACAACUCAAGCACAGAGGCCUCUGUCUGUGCACCAGCUAACAAUCAUGUUAAAGCAACUCCUGUCAAGAGCAACAACCUAGAAAGAGACAACGAAGGGGCAAAAAGGAGGAUUUAACUAAUUCUGCAAAGAAAAUGAAACAAAAGAAAAUGGACCAUUAAAACAGUUGUGAAGAUAAAUUUGAAAAGCUCUGAUGAAUGUGAAGCUACUGAAUUUUUAUCAUUUUUCCAUUUGUUUAGUUACCCAUACCAAUGAAUGGCAAGGUGUUUAUUAGGUCACCACAUAGAGAAGAAACAAACCAAAACACACAGACUGUGAACUGGGACAUUUUAGUACAUUUCACAAAUCUGAAUUUAAACAUUUCAGUGGAAGAUCCACUCAUCUCUGCAUGCUGAAAGCUUGAAAUGGCUCCAGUU